GGUUCGAUCCCUGGCCUCGAUCAGUGGGUUAAGGAUCCAGCGUUGCCGUGAGCUAUAGCGUAGGUUACAGAUGUGGCUCGGAUCCCGCAUUGCUGUGGCUGUGGCUGUGGCUGUAGCUGUGGCGAAGACCAGCAGCUUCAGUUCCGAUUCAACCCCUAGACUGGGAACAUCCAUGUGCUGUGGGUGCGGCCCUAAAAAGCAAAAGCAAAAAAAAAAAAAAAGGACAAGACUUUAGGAUGCCGUUGUGGGGCCAGGAUGGUGUACGUGUGGGCUGAGGGAAAGGCGCAACCUGGGGCUUCCUUCCUCUUACUAGAAAACCGAAAUGCAGAGAAGCAAAGGCUGACGAUGGUUUAAACCCUUCAGAACUCCCUGCUUCCUUCGGUGUCCAUCAUGGCAAAUCGAGUCAUCAUUUGGAAUUGUCCAGACUUAAGUUAGGAAAGAUUACACCUGUUAGAAAGAGAUGGAAAGAAAGGGCAACUGAGAAUCCAUUUGCCCUGGCUUUUAAAGUUGUCUUCUCUGGAUGGAUCAGUUUACAGAUAUUUUUAUAGCGACAUCCUUCUUCUUUUUUUUUUUUUUCCUCUGUGUUUGAUGGGGAGCUUACUGAACAUCGAUACUGAGUUAUUUUACUUUAUUGCUGCCACAAAACUGCCCUUAAUAAAAAGUGAAAGAAAGAAGAAUGAAAGCUUAUGGUCUCGCCACUCUAUUUCUUGAGGAGAAGCCCAUCGUCAAAGUUUUAGGGUUUAAAAUCCUUUUUAGAGAAAAUGCUUUCCUGUCACGAGCAGAAGAUGCUUCCUAUGCUCUAUUUGCUUGCAAUAUUUCUCUCCCCUUUUAGCAGUUAUGUGUCCCCCUGAAUGGCAACCAUCACAUGCGGACAACCUUGGGGAUAGCCCACAGUUGGAUCGAAUGAAGCCUAUUUCUGCCUCUUCUCUGCAGUGUGACUCGAAGCCAGUGUCCUAACCUCUCUGAACCUCAGUUGUUAAACUCCUGCACCACAGGGCUACAUGACAUCUAUUGGACAGGACUGGGAGGCAGGCAGGUCAGUGAAGCACCAUUUGUAAAAGUGCUCACCAGAAUGGCUUGCACAGCUUAGAUGCUCUUAUAAUGAGGCAGAUUUUGCCUCCUGAUAGCUCAUUGGCUGGCCCCAGUUCUGUUCUCUGCGCUCUCAAGAUCAAGGGUAGUAUCUUGCACAGAGCAUUUGGAGCUGCAAAAUAUUUAAAAGCAGCCUUCUUCUCCCCCCGACUCCUCCCCCUUGCUUCGGCACUCUGGAGUUUUAACUUUUUUCCCUGUGGUCAUUCUUGGUCUCUGUGUCAUUGGACUAAAUUUUCCACCAAUCCACUCAAACCACUUUCUGUAUUCAGCUAUGACGGAAGGUCCUAGGGUGUGUACCGCUAGUAAUGGUACGUUAGCACUGUGAUAGAAGUAGCAUUCUUUUUGCCUGUAUGUAUCCUCAGGGAGUCCCUUACUCACUGAAAGAUUAUUCCAGAAUGCCUUUUUCUCUUAAUGGAAAAGGCUGGAUUGAGUCACCUGUGAGGCAGAGUGUGUUAAGCCCAGAAGAAGCCUGCUGGAAUUAACCAGGUCAUGCUUUCAACAACCGCUCAGGCUUAGCAGAUGGUAGAAUUGUCUCUGUGUGUGUGCGUCUCUCUCUUCCCAGAAAGGAAAGAGACAGGUCACAGGUCAAGGUCAGCGAGUGAGUAACCUCUUACAUGGAGAAUAUUUCCCAUGCUGACUUCUGCUCUGCCUGCUUGAUAGCGAAGUGACCGAUAAUUGCCCGAGCCGUCCAGCUUUUCCCUCUUCUCAAGAGUAGGAUUCAGCAAGAGUUGGUUGCUCGUGGGUAGAAACUGGUUUGGAGAACAACACGCAAAAUAAGCCCUCUCCUCGCAAAUGACCUACCUUUUCCCUCAGCCCUCCCCGUUUUCCUCACUGGGACCGGUCUUCUUCAAUGAGAGGAGACGGAACACUAGACUCACUUCGAGUUGUUCAGGAGAAAAUCAUCGCAUCACCUUCCUCCCUCAGCAUCCUCGGGGGACUGGUUCCAGGGCCACCCCCCUCCCCUGCGCAAGCCAAAAAUCCACAGAUGCUCCAGUCGCUUCUAGACAAAUAUUUGCAUGUAACCUACAUGAUCUUCCUGUAUACUUUAAAUCAUCUCUAGGUGGUGUGUAAUGACUAAUUCAAUGUAAAUGCUGUGCAAAUAAAUGCCGGCAUGUGACAGAUUCAAGUGUCGCUGCAUGGAACCUUCUGGAAUUUUUUUCCUAGUACUUUCCAUCUGUGGUGGGUCGAGGUUGGCUGACUCUGCAGAUGAGGUACCUGAGGGUGGAGGAUGCAGUCGGAGGGCCCCCUGUGUUGUUAGCAUUGCUGUUUUCGUUUUCUGUUUCGGAGGAGUGUGCGGACUUGAGGAAUGUUUAUGAGGUGUUCCGCGAGCUGGGAUGAGGUAGACAGAUGAAAUGCGAAGGAUUCCUUAGGAGUCAGCCAGCAGUGGAGCCUGGCUGAAAGCGCUCCUUCAUCAAAGAAAUGCUGAGACCAAAAUAAGCAUGGGUCUGUCUCUGUGUCUGUCCAUCUGUCUGGAGAGGAGGGUGGAGAGAGGGAAUUGAACAAGUGUCAACAAGAAAGGAGAACGCGUUCAAGCGUGAGGGAGACGGCUCCCUGAAAUCUGUGCUCGGCUUCUUCCCAGAGCUAGUGCUUCUCCUGGGCUUUACAGCUGAAUUCUCAGGGAUGUAUCCUCAGAAGUACUGUGUGUACCGAGUCAUCUGCUUCUAAAAGGAACUGCAUUUUAAGGGGGGAGAUGAGAACAAGGAGGGGAGCCGGGGAGAUGGAAGGAAGUGAGACACCCAGCCAUCUGCCCGAGGGACUGGGCACCCCAGCCUGAGGCUCUCCAGAGCAAGCACGUGGAACGGAAUAACCUGCCAACACUGUGACACAGGGCCUCCGGUUUGGAAGUGCCCUGUCCGCCGUUUUGCAGUGUCAUUUCACUGCUCUGCCUUUUAAACACGUUGGAAAACAAGAGGAGAGCCCCAGGACCCCCCCAGGCAGCCAUGUACGUGCUUGGUUGGUGCGCCAACGACCGGGCCCACACAUUUUCCCAUCCUGAGAAGCUCCAGGUCCCGUGUACUGUUGCCAUGGACCGAAUGUUUGUAUCUCCCUCCAAAACCCGUCUGUUGAAGCCCCAGCCCCCGAAGUGAGGCUAUGGGGCUUCAACAGACGGGGCCAGAUGGGGCCUUUGGGAGGUCCUGAGGUCCUGAGCGAAGUUAGUGUCCUUCAAAGAACAGAAGGAGAGGGAGGAUCUGGCUCAACCGUGUCAGGGCUCCGUCAGACAGCCGCCUACAAACCAGAAAGGGGGCCCUCACCGUGAGCCCCGCUCCGCAGGCUCCCCGACCUCAGGCUUCCUGCAUCCAGAACGGGGAGGAAUAAUUGCUUGUGAUUUAAGCCACCCAGCCUAUGGUAUUUUUGUUAGAGCCGCCGAAACGGACUAAGACAGACGCCUUUGGUGGCCCUUCGGGACUGUGGCCUUCGGCACGUCUGUCGUCCGGGACUGAUCCCGUGGCAUCAUGACCCACGCAUGUCUGUGCGGAAUUGUACUUUUCAUCGGAAGUGGGAGACACGGUCAUCUCCCGUUCAUAUUUACUGAGCGCCCAAAAUACUUGGAGUUCAGCUCACAAGAAAACAAAUGCAUGUGUGGUUUUUUAAAAUUAUUACAUGCCUUUUACUUGGGAGAUGAAUGGCUUCAACUGGGUGAUUUUUCCAUCAUGGAGAACCAAGCCGGGAAUGUUCUUGAAUUUCCUACCUGUGUUCUUUCAGGGCAGUUCUGUCAUCUUCCUAAGACUGAAUAUUACAUUUUACCUCCUUGGGCCUUUCUGGUCCAUCUGCAGAAGGUGCCGUCAUCACCCAGGUAUAGUCUGGCCUUUUCAGAGACAGAGAAUAACCACCCCCACAACCUCCGGGGAAGCUACCUUAGAUUAGUUUCCUCUGUAAAGAAUGUUUCCUGGUUGGGGGACCAUGUGGUAGCAUUGAACACUCAUUUUCCUUUUCAAUUAGCACCAGGAGCUGUCACCUCGGGUGACCCAAACUGAAAAAAGAUUAGCAUCAACACACUUUUAUUCCAACACGGUGGUCAUCAGUGUACACGUGAAGCUGUCAGGAUUCUGGCUGCAGGCUCCGAAACGCUCCAGCCACUCCGGAGGGCUUUAAACGGCAGCUGGAUUUCAUAGCCAGGUGACGAACCCCUGAGCAGACUUUGCAGCCGGUGGCCCGUUCCUCCUAGGGAUCCUGGCGCUCCAGAAACAGGAGAUGCUUUCUGGUGAUGGUGCUGUAAGAACAGUCAUGGAGGAAUGGAAGCAGCUUGUCCUUCUCUUCAUUCCUCCUACCCAAGGGUAGAAUCUGAGAGUCUUCUUUCCCCAAACCCUUAUCAUGCAAACCAUGUCCUUGAAGCUGCUACUCUUUGAGGCAUUGAACCAAUGCAAAAGCGCCAACGGUUUGGAAUUCACGUUUUAUCUAGAAUCCACCCAGUAGAAACAAUAUACAGGCAGACCCAGGUUUUGGCACCUCACUUUAUUGCACAGUUUGUUACCCAUUUAAAGGUUUGUGGCAUCCCCUUUCCGGAGGAUGGUUAGUGAUUUUUAGCAAGAAAGUAUUUUAAAAUUAAGGUAUGUACAUUUUUUUUAGACAUGAUGCUCUUAUACACUUAACAGACCAGUGUAGUGUAAACUUAACUUUUUUUUUUUUUUGAAUGACUGCAUCCGUGGCAUGUGGAAGUUCCCAGGCCAGGAACAGAAUCCAAGCUACAGCUGUGGCCUACGCCACAGCUGCGGCAACACUGGAUCCUUUAACUCAUUGCGCUGGGCCAGGGAUCGGACCCAUAGCUUCAUGGCAACCCGCUCCUGAGCCGCUGCAGUCAGGUUCUUAAUCCACUGUGCCACCAUGGGAACUCCCAUCAACUUUUUUUUAAUGGAAGUAUAGUGUUAUGUUAAUUUCUGCUGUACAGCAAAGUGACUCAGAUGUAUACAUAUGUAUAUGUAUGUAUGUAUCUGAUAUGUAUAUACACACAUACAUAUAAUUUUUCAUAUUCCUUUUCCGUAGGGCUUCUUGCAGGGUACUGAAUAUUGUUUCCUGGGCUGUGCAGUAGGCCCUUCUUGUUUACCAUCCUGUGUAUGCCAGUUUCCCUCUGCUAAUCCCAAACUCCCACUCCUUCCCUCCCCCUGCCACCAUCGCCCUCUUGGCAACCAUCAGUCUGUUCUCUAUGAACAGAACUUUUCCAUGCACGGGGAAAGCAAACAAUCUGUGGGACUCACUUUAUUGCAAUAUUCGCUUCAUUGCAGUGGUCUGGAACCGAACUCACGGUAUCUCCAAGGUGAACCUGUAUUAUUAAAGCUAGUUAGAACUCUCUGUCAAAUGGAAACCUCUAUUAAUUGAUAUAAGCAUGCUUCGUUGGGCAGAGUGAAAAUGGAGGUUCAUAAUGGUGACCUGGAGGCAAUGAAAUAUUCUGAAACGUCUUGAAUCAUCAGAGAAAGAUUAAAAUAUGUUCAGUGUUGUUUUAGUGUUCAAGCGUAUUUUACCGUAUUCCGUCUCCUGCCAACUGGUAAUGCAUACCUGCCCUUUGGGAUAAAACUCCAUUGCCCUGAGUGUUUGAUUUGACACAGCAUCCCAUUUCCUACGAGAGCAGGGGGCAGCAGAGGCUUCGUAUUAGAUCUGGCUGGUUGUUCUGCUCAGGGCAGAGUUAGGUGAUUCUUCCAUUUUUACAAGGAACCUAAUCGGUGUGAGUUAGCAUCUACCUCCUUUUUUCUUUUUCACUGGGCAUUAGCUUUAUAGAUUUAAACACAGUAGGCACAUUUUCAGGGGAGAGAUUGUAGCUAGUUGUGGCCCCAGCCAGACGAGUAGCCAGUUCUAAGUUUCUCCAAGUAUGGCGUUCUCUUCGGCUAAUGGGAUUAAAGAACCUGCUUUCCUAUCCCUAAGAUCUCUACCUGUUUCUUGAGCACUGCCUCCAGCUGCUCAGUGGAAUUUGAAUUCCAGAAAAUGAUCCCUCUUACAGGAGUAUUUUUAGGCCUGAGGAAGGCCAAAGAGUUCAGUUGGAGCUAAAAGGCCUCUCUUCUUUUCCCUUAGAGAGAGAGGGGGGGAGAGGGAGAGAGAGGGGGGAGAGGGGAGAGAGAGAGGGAGAGAGAGGGGAGAGGGGAGUUAAGUAGGUGUGAGAAUUUGGAGUAGGGAGAUAAUGAUCGCAAGGUUUAAAAGGAGACCCAGAGGAAAGCUGACCUCAUUUUUACGGGUGGAAGAUUAGACUGUUUAUUUAUAGUUGGCGAUAUUGACUUCUCGAAGAGAAAAACUAAAAAUGUAUUGGGGAGUGUCACCUCACGAAAGGUGAGGUGCAUGACAUUCUAAUCCAGGGCCUUUUUUUUCAUUUGACUAGUUAAACAGAAGUGCCAGCAACACCAAAGAUUUCGUUUUUGUUUGGGGUUGUUUUUUGUUUUCUUGAAAAAUGUUUGAAAUUUUUUCCACAUUAUUUAAUUUGGGCCUUUUAAGCUAAUCAUUCAUUGCCUUCCUGGGUAGACUAUUUUCUCUCCCCCCAACCCCAGAUCUUUUUAUUCAAUCAAAUAUGGAUGAGAAACACAAUCUAAAAUUAGAAAAGGCUCAGAGUUCCUCCUGCGGCUGUGGUACAAUGGGAUCAGUGGUGUCUUGGGAGCGCUGGGAUGCAGGUUCGAUCCCGGGUCCGGCAUAGUGGGUUAGAGGUCCGGCAUUGCUGCACCUGCAGCUCAGAUCUGAUCCCUGGCCCAGGAGCUCCACAUGCUGCAAGAUGGCCAAAAAAUUAAAAUAAAAUGAAAUAGGGAGUUCCCGUUUUGCCGCAGCGGAAUUGAAUCUGACUAGUAACCAUGAGGUUUCGGGUUCGAUCCCUGGCCUCGCUCAGUGGGUUAAGGACCUGGCAUUGCCAUGAGCUGUGGUGCAGGUCACAGACACGGCUUGGAUCCCAAGUUGCUGUGGCUGUGGUGUAGGCCAGCAGCUACAGCUCCAAUUCGACCCCUAGCCUGGGAACCUCCAUAUACCACAGAUGUGGCCCUAAAAAAAAAAAAA
ensembl:lncRNA